CCUCUCAAUCACCGCUGAGGCGCCGAGCGCGAUGUUUCAGAUCUGCGUCGGUUCGCAUUUGAUCCAAUCGCCGCCGACGCCUCCGUGUGCUGCGUGCAUCGUCCGUUCAUCGUCUGGCCAGGGGUCCGGCGGGCGGCGGGCGGCAACAUCGCAGCACAAGCAGCGACGCUCAAAUCUCACGCACCUCCAUUGCUCCGAUCCGAUCUCCUGCAGCUGUAGUCUGCUACUCAGCUGUCAUCCAAAGCCUUCAGAGUACAGAUCAGACAAAAAGAAGAGGAACUGUUAAACUCUUAUAGGUAUGCAAGCUUCUUUCUGUGCAUUUUGAAGCUAAUAUAUUUAUACUAUUUAUAUUUAAUUUAUGUAAUAUUUAUGAUUAAUUGUUGAGUUUACUGGACUUUGUAUGUUAUUAUCGAAUUUCUUAAUAAAUUGGUAUUGUUAGUUGAAUUAUACAUGAA